rnacentral:pre_miRNA from 1 species
GGAAUCUGGUAUGGGUUGAAGUAGCACCUCUCCCUGGCUUGGCUGCUGCUUCUAAUAAUGGCCAACUGAGGUGUUAUUUCAACCCCUACCAGACUCC